rnacentral:ncRNA from 1 species
UACGCUUCUUUGAUACCGACGAUUCCCUUAUUCUGCGGGUUUCUUCACCGCUGGCUUUGCCUAGCGGAUUCCCGGCUUCUAUCUCCAUUCUCGAAGUUUCCGCUGUAAUGCGCGAUGGGCCGCCGCUCACGGAAGCCGCGAUUGAUCCGUUGACUUGACUCGAGGUCAUGAUGUCGUCAGGUACCGGCCCCGUGGACGAUGCUUCGCCUCCUCCGGUUAGGCCUAGUACUGGCGGCCGCUGGAAUGGUCUGCCGCCAUCACUGGUAGUCGUAAUUAUUGGUCUAUGAAUGACAGUUCUCUCACCCGAUUUCGACGAAUCGAUUAUCAGCGAGAUCCUUGAAGCUUCCAAUCCUUCGUAGAAACGUUUGACGCCAAAAGAAGCGCCAGAAAAACCGAAAAGAUAGAGUGAAAAGAGCUCGAUGAGACACGUCCGAUCGCCUCUGUGUCUUCUUCUUUCUCCAGAGUUUCGCUGUCUCCCCUGUUAUUCUUUUUGAUUGGCUUUUUCACCAAAAAUAUCUUUGACCGCUUUAUGGUCCUAUUCAUUUACUUUUUUUGGAUUAAACCCUGUUAUACCGAUUGGUGGUGCAGGUAGAGAGAACAAUUGUUUUUAUUUCUUUUCACUCUCACUUACAAAAUGUCCCUAUCUACUAUCUAGCGAAACCACAGCCAAGGGAACGGGCUUGGAAAAAUCAGCGGGGAAAGAAGACCCUGUUGAGCUUGACUCUAGUCUGACUCUGUGAAGAGACAUGAGAGGUGUAGCAUAAGUGGGAGGCCGUGAACCCUCGCGGUUGUGUCGUGCCGUCAGUGAAAUACCACUACUUUCAUCGUUUCUUUACUUACUCGGUGAAGCGGAAAGCGCACCAUGAGUGUCCACGCUUCUAGCACUAAGUGCAAGGCCCUUUCGUUGGCCCGCACGAUCUGUUCCGAGGACAGUGUCAGGCGGGGAGUUUGACUGCGGCGGUACAUCUGUCAAAUGGUAACGCAGGUGUCCUAAGGCGAGCUCAGCGAGACAGAAACCUCGCGUAGAGCAAAAGGGCAAAUGCUUGCUGAUCUGAUUUUCAGUACGAUU